CAUUUUCGAAAGGCGUGGGCUCUGCAGAGACGGAGAGGGAGAUAGGCGUGGGAUGGCAGGGAAGGGUGAGGCUGCCAAAAAGGGGGGGUUAUGGUUGAUUUUUUCUCCUCAAAUCAAGGGUUGGUGUCGGUGAUUGAGAAAUUGAGAGGGAUGGGAGACAGACAGAAACACACCCAUUUGGCCUUCAUUUCCCUUUCUCAAACCCUAGCAGCAACAACACCAACUCUAGCCGAUCUCUGCAAUAGCGUCGGCUCCUGCUUCUGAAAACCAAAACCGCACAAACCUGGCCUCCAUUUCUGUAACUCGGAGCUUCCUCUCUCUGAGUCUAACUCCGAAUAUCAACAAGAAGCCGAGCAUAGCUCUUUCUAUAACCUCCGUUCUCUCCCAUGGCCAGCUGAAGCAGCUAAAGUUGAGUGUUUUAAUCGGUUGUAUAUGUCACCCAGUUUACCCGUUCCUACUGCUGCUCAACAGGGACAAGUUUCUCAGCAGGUGCUGUUUCAGAUUUUGUGUAUCUCAUUUUGGAAGUGAUUCAUAGGUGCUCUAUAAAGCCAUGGCCUCCGAAAGACGAUAUUCAUGUAUGAGCAAGAGGGGGUCGAGCUACUGACGAAUUAUAGUCAUAAUCUAGCUGAAUUUUAAAACCGCUUUUAGCUGAAAGGGCAUUCGAGAGAUGGGGUUUUCUCUGUCUUCCUCUUGGGUCAUUAAAGGACAUUUUUUUAGCAGACCCACUUCAAAUCGGAUAGAUAAAAGCUACCAACUCAUCUCUUGGAAGGUAACUUCUGGAGUUGUUAAUUUUUGUGAAAUAUUUGAUCUAGGUAAUUUUUUUUGGGUGAAAUUAGAUACUUAGUUUUUGAAAUAAUGCAAUACAAUACGAUUAAAGAAAGAAGAUUCUUAUAUGAUCCACCUUUGUUUCUUUUUUUUUCUUGGAAUAUUUUGUUGUUUUCAAAUUUCGCUUUGCAUCCUGUUUAUGUCCAUCAGUUGGCACUCCAUGGUAUAAAUUAACUCUAAAUCUUUGUUGCC
rnacentral:sRNA from 1 species